GAUGAAGAGAGCAAUUCACCCACCAAGUUAUCCUGCGUGUUAGCUUUCUCCCUCAUUUCUUCAGAUACUGACUUCUUCCAACCCCCUCACUCCCAGGGCUUGCUCUGUUCAUCCACUUGGGUGGUCCUCUGGAGAGCAACUGAACUACACCAAUCUCUUUCUGAUCCCACAGGGGACCUUGAAAAGUCACCAUUCUUUCUCAAGAGCUUUCCUGUUUCAAAUAACCCCAUUUUCAUCCACAUUGUACAUAGCAGGUCAACCCAGAUCAGAAAUCUACCUGCCAUCCCCCCACCACCUUUGUGAUUUUUUUCCUAGAACGUUCCUAAUCCCCUCUCUGCACAAAUCUAUACAUCAUUUUCCCAGAGUCUCAAGAAAUGGAUUCCUGGAAAUGUGCAUGUGUGUUACUUAAUCACGCAGCUGCAGCAUGGGGAUACAGAAAGCCUCGUCCAUCUCAGAAGACUGUGGCUUGAUCUCAACGAUAAGAACAUCCCUGUCACUGGAAUCCACGGCUCAAGGGGCCUGCUUUGCUUCUCAAGGAUGCUAAGUUCUUAAACCCAG